AGGACGAACGCUGGCGGCGUGCCUAAUACAUGCAAGUCGAACGGUCUUUCUAUGGAAGCUUGCUUCCACUGAGAAGAUAGUGGCGAACGGGUGAGUAACACGUGGGUAACCUGCCCAUAAGAGGGGGGAUAACAUCCGGAAACGGGUGCUAAUACCGCAUAGUUUUCUUGAUCGCAUGAUCGGAAAGGAAAGACGGCCUUUGUGCUGUCGCUUAUGGAUGGACCCGCGGCGUAUUAGUUAGUUGGUGAGGUAACGGCUCACCAAGACGAUGAUACGUAGCCGACCUGAGAGGGUGAUCGGCCACACUUGGGACUGAGACACGGCCCAAACUCCUACGGGAGGCAGCAGUAGGGAAUCUUCCGCAAUGGACGAAAGUCUGACGGAGCAACGCCGCGUGAGUGAAGAAAGGUUUUCGGAUCGCAAAACUCUGUUGUCAGAGAAGAACAAGUUGGAGAGUAACUGCUCCAGCCUUGACGGUAUCUGACCAGAAAGCCACGGCUAACUACGUGCCAGCCGCGGC
rnacentral:rRNA from 1 species